UAUUCUAUUUCCAUGCAUAUUCAUGCUACAU
rnacentral:piRNA from 1 species